rnacentral:lncRNA from 1 species
AUGGUAAAUAAUAUGUACAUCGAGGGAAAUGUAGCCAGAGCUUCUAUGUCAGAUUGGCUUGUUCCCUUUUCUGUCCUUUCCUUUAUAGACUCUGAGCCCCUUCAGGUAUUACUUUCUGUACCCACAACUCUAAUAUCUAUAUUGAUCCUGAUAUAUGUCAUGCUGACCUUAAUGGGUAAUAAUUACACCUUCUGUCCAGACAGAAACUGUAAACAAAAUGUCAGUGUCAUGAUCUCACAUGCUUGUAGAAUAAUUAACAAUUAUACUUUGUGCCUGAUGGAAACCCUCCUCUGGAACUACUGCAUGAGAGCAGAACACUUGAAUGCUAGACCAGAUUUCCUGAGACCAGCCACUGGACAUCUUCCUAAAGAAGCAAUGGAACAAAUCCUUCCAGAACAAGAUCUGGACCUGAUGCAACUGGUGAUGGAGCCCUGCAGGAAGAGCCAGAAGCCCAACUAGUUGGUGACUCCUUUUGGCAAGAUAGGCAGAGACAUUGUGUCAUGCCAAAUUAGGCACAUUGAUGUCUACACCUCAACUGGCAGUUUUGCAGUUGUGUGACUGGUAUCAUGUCCAGAACAUG